rnacentral:rRNA from 1 species
UUGCUAAUAAUUCUCUAGUGGCGCACGGGUGAGUAACACGUGAGCAAUCUGCCUUUCAGAGGGGGAUACCGAUUGGAAACGAUCGUUAAUACCGCAUAACAUAAUUGAACCGCAUGAUUUGAUUAUCAAAGAUUUAUCGCUGAAAGAUGAGCUCGCGUCUGAUUAGCUAGUUGGUAAGGUAACGGCUUACCAAGGCGACGAUCAGUAGCCGGACUGAGAGGUUGAUCGGCCACAUUGGGACUGAGACACGGCCCAGACUCC